GUGGGGAAUAUUCCGCAAUGGACGAAAGUCUGACGGAGCAACGCCGCGUGAGUGAUGAAGGUUUUCGGACUGUAAAGCUCUGUUGUUUAGGACGAAAGUGCCUGUUGCAAAUAGUUACAGGUAUUGACGGUACUGAACGAGGAAGCCACGGCUAACUACGUGCCAGCAGCCGCGGUAAUACGUAGGUGGCAAGCGUUGUCCGGAAUUAUUGGGCGUAAAGAGCAUGUAGGCGGGAAUCUAAGUCUGUUGUGAAAAUGCGGGGCUCAACCCCGUAUUGCGAUGGAAACUGGGUUUCUUGAGUGAAGGAGAGGAAAGGGGAAUUCCCAGUGUAGCGGUGAAAUGCGUAGAUAUUGGGAGGAACACCAGUGGCGAAGGCGCCUUUCUGGACUGUGUCUGACGCUGAGAUGCGAAAGCCAGGGUAGCGAACGGGAUUAGAUACCCGUGUAGUCC
rnacentral:rRNA from 1 species